ACGGGCGGUGUGUCAAGGCCCGGGAACGUAUUCACCGCGGCAUGCUGAUCCGCGAUUACUAGCAAUUCCGACUUCAUGCAGGCGAGUUGCAGCCUGCAAUCUGAACUGAGACGUUGUUUUUGAGUUUUGCUCCGCCUCGCGGCUUCGCUUCUCUUUGUUAAACGCCAUUGUAGUACGUGUGUAGCCCAGGUCAUAAAGGGCAUGAUGAUUUGACGUCAUCCCCACCUUCCUCCGUUUUGUCAACGGCAGUCUCGCCAGAGUCCUCUUGCGUAGUAACUGGCAAUAAGGGUUGCGCUCGUUGCGGGACUUAACCCAACAUCUCACGACACGAGCUGACGACAACCAUGCACCACCUGUCUCGAUGUCCCCGAAGGACUUCACAUAUCUCUAUGCUAUGCAUCGGAUGUCAAGACCUGGUAAGGUUCUUCGCGUUGCUUCGAAUUAAACCACAUACUCCACUGCUUGUGCGGGCCCCCGUCAAUUCCUUUGAGUUUCAACCUUGCGGUCGUACUCCCCAGGUGGAUUACUUAUUGUGUUAACUGCGGCACUGAAGGGGUCAAUCCUCCAACACCUAGUAAUCAUCGUUUACGGCAUGGACUACCAGGGUAUCUAAUCCUGUUUGA
rnacentral:rRNA from 1 species